GAUGAACGCUGGCGGCGUGCCUAAUACAUGCAAGUCGAGCGAACAGACGAGGAGCUUGCUCCUCUGACGUUAGCGGCGGACGGGUGAGUAACACGUGGAUAACCUACCUAUAAGACUGGGAUAACUUCGGGAAACCGGAGCUAAUACCGGAUAAUAUAUUGAACCGCAUGGUUCAAUAGUGAAAGACGGUUUUGCUGUCACUUAUAGAUGGAUCCGCGCCGCAUUAGCUAGUUGGUAAGGUAACGGCUUACCAAGGCAACGAUGCGUAGCCGACCUGAGAGGGUGAUCGGCCAAACUGGAAAUGAGACACGGUCCAGGCUCCUAAGGGAGGCAGCAGUAGGGAAUCUUCCGCAAUGGGCGAAAGCUUGACGGAGCAACGCCGCGUGAGUGAUGAAGGUCUUCGGAUCGUAAAACUCUGUUAUUAGGGAAGAACAAAUGUGUAAGUAACUAUGCACGUCUUGACGGUACCUAAUCAGAAAGCCGCGGCUAACUACGUG
rnacentral:rRNA from 1 species